rnacentral:rRNA from 1 species
CCUUGAGUUUGAUCAUGGCUCAGAUUGAACGCUGGCGGCAGGCUUAACACAUGCAAGUCGAGCGGAGAGAAGUAGCUUGCUACUGAUUUUAGCGGCGGACGGGUGAGUAAUACUUAGGAAUCUGGCUAUUAGUGGGGGACAACAUUUCGAAAGGGAUGCUAAUACCGCAUACGUCCUACGGGAGAAAGCAGGGGAUCAGUAAUGACCUUGCGCUAAUAGAUGAGCCUAAGUCGGAUUAGCUAGUUGGUGGGGUAAAGGCCUACCAAGGCGACGAUCUGUAGCGGGUCUGAGAGGAUGAUCCGCCACACUGGGACUGAGACACGGCCCAGACUCCUACGGGAGGCAGCAGUGGGGAAUAUUGGACAAUGGGGGGAACCCUGAUCCAGCCAUGCCGCGUGUGUGAAGAAGGCCUUAUGGUUGUAAAGCACUUUAAGCGAGGAGGAGGGUACUGGUAUUAAUACUACCAGCUACUGGACGUUACUCGCAGAAUAAGCACCGGCUAACUCUGUGCCAGCAGCCGCGGUAAUACAGAGGGUGCGAGCGUUAAUCGGAUUUACUGGGCGUAAAGCGUGCGUAGGCGGCUAAUUGAGUCGGAUGUGAAAUCC